AUUUCUUGUGUAUAUGUUUUAUUUGGAGAUGUGAUAAUAGCAUUCCAUCAUUUCAAUUGCCUUUAAGAGAUACAAGUACAAUUAAAAGUGUCAGUCACAAAUGAAAAACCUAAUCGUAAAUGCUAACAAUACAAUACAGACAAGCCUUGUCCUGUACAUGGUUUCAACUGAGAUAUUGCUGUAGCAAAGGUUUCAUAAAAUAAAUAAAUUUAAUGUUAAAGGAAAUAAGUCCUUAGCUCUGUAAUAUACUUCCACCGAAGCAUAAAGGUCAAGUCGAACAAAAAAAUCAUAACCAUUAAUUAUGGUGUAGACAAAUAGGAACAACAGAUACUAAUAAGUUAUUACAGAGUGCUUUUCUAAAACUCAACUGCUUUGAAAGACACCUUGAUUUCAAACAAAAUAAAACACAUUUCCAUUGUUUUUCUUUGCAAUACACAUUUUACUCAGUCCAUCUUUACAAAAGUUUAAUUCUACUUCAAAGAGUCUACUGUGCAUUUACUGUAAAAUUUUGAGUGUUUUCAGUUUAAUCUUGUCCAUUCAAAGGUGACAAUUUAUCUCAUCUCUUUGAGUGAAGUUCAAUAGUAGACAAACAAAAAGUUACAGAAUCAAGAAUCAGUCUGUAGAAAUUAAAUGAAUAUAAUUUAAGGUUUCAAAUACACCCUAAAUAUGUAGAAAGAAAUGUGUCAAGGCCAAAUUUGCAAUAGUUCAAUAUCAUAAACUGUUGAAUAACUUUUAUUUCAAUUAGUAAACCACUUCUAGUUGUGAAAACUAUGACAUCAAGUCACAUUAGGUAGAAUAAUUAAACCUACAUGUAAGUUUCCUUGUUUACUCAAAUAAAUCAUGACAAUCACAAAUAUUUAGGGUUUAAAUAUUUAUGAAAUGUAUUCUACACUCUGGUGUGGUAACACACAUUUCAAUGCUGGGUACAGAGUUAAGAUUUUGAAAACACACUUAAAGACUUUUUUCCCCAACAAAAAAAAAAUUUAUGUUAAUUUUGGACACAUUAAAUAAAGACCCCCCCCC